rnacentral:rRNA from 1 species
UACGUAGGGUGCGAGCGUUAAUCGGAAUUACUGGGCGUAAAGCGUGCGCAGGCGGUUCGUUGUGUCGGCGGUGAAAGCCCCGGGCUCAACCUGGGAAUGGCCGUUGAAACUGGCGAACUGGAGUGUGGCAGAGGGGGGUGGAAUUCCACGUGUAGCAGUGAAAUGCGUAGAGAUGUGGAGGAACACCGAUGGCGAAGGCAGCCCCCUGGGUUAACACUGACGCUCAGGCACGAAAGCGUGGGGAGCAAACAGG